AGUGAACGCUGGCGGUAGGCCUAACACAUGCAAGUCGAACGGCAGCACAGUAAGAGCUUGCUCUUACGGGUGGCGAGUGGCGGACGGGUGAGGAAUACAUCGGCAUCUACUUUUUCGUGGGGGAUAACGUAGGGAAACUUACGCUAAUACCGCAUACGACAUACGGGUGAAAGCAGGGGAUCUUCGGACCUUGCGCGAUUGAAUGAGCCGAUGUCGGAUUAGCUAGUUGGCGGGGUAAAGGCCCACCAAGGCGACGAUCCGUAGCUGGUCUGAGAGGAUGAUCAGCCACACUGGAACUGAGACACGGUCCAGACUCCUACGGGAGGCAGCAGUGGGGAAUAUUGGACAAUGGGCGCAAGCCUGAUCCAGCCAUACCGCGUGGGUGAAGAAGGCCUUCGGGUUGUAAAGCCCUUUUGUUGGGAAAGAAAAGCAGCAGGUUAAUACCCCGCUGUUCUGACGGUACCCAAAGAAUAAGCACCGGCUAACUUCGUG
rnacentral:rRNA from 1 species